AUACGGAAGGUCCGGGCGUUAUCCGGAUUUAUUGGGUUUAAAGGGAGCGCAGGCGGAGAUGCAAGCGUGACGUCAAAUUUCGGGGCUCAACCCCGUCUCGCGUCGCGAACUGCGUCCCUUGGUUGCGGGAAGGGGAGGCGGAACUCGUGGUGUAGCGGUGAAAUGCAUAGAUAUCACGAAGAACUCCGAUCGCGAAGGCAGCCAUCCGGCCAGAUCACGACGCUCAUGCUCGAAGGGUCGGGUAUCAAACCGGAUUCGAUACCCUGGUAGUCCGCCCAGUAACCGCUGGACCCCCGCGGUUUGGCCUGUAUGGCUGAGCCGCCAAACGAAAGCGUUAAGUGUACCACCUGGGGAGUACGCCGGCAACGGUGAAACUCAAAUGAAUUGACGGGG
rnacentral:rRNA from 1 species